rnacentral:RNase_P_RNA from 1 species
UGGAGUGUAAGCGCGACUGACGGUACUCCAAGUGGGUGCUGAGGAAACUCCUGACUCCAUGUCGGUGCCAGUCCUGUGUGAACAGGGAGGUUAGAACCUCGCUCUGAGAACAGAAACGACACCCCCAGACUGGAUUUGACGAUGAUGCAGGAAAUAACCUGUUGAGGAUUAGUCUGGUUCGGAUGAAACGGCUCAUCACUGGGUAGCAAUCCCAAGAAUAGGCUGACGAUGUGCCGACCUGAGGCCUAGGGUAGGGAGCUUAGUCUGAUGUCGCAAGACUCCUUGAUGGUGACAUCUGGGAGUGGAACAGAAUCAGGGUUACUCUAUGUACCA